rnacentral:lncRNA from 1 species
GUGGAGCCUCCUGGAGCACAGUCAUGAGCAGAGCUCUCCUGGCUCCACCUCUGCCUCCCAUCAGGGGUGAAUAAGGCGGAAGCUGAGGGGACAGUCACAGCCAGGACAGGAAUGUCACCCCCAGCUGGCAGACAGCACUCUGAGCAGCCAGGCCUGGGAUCCUCUGACCUGCCCACUUCAGGAGGCCAGUGUGGUCACUGCCACCCCACGGUCUGGGGACCCUGGACUCCAAACUUGGACUCUGCCUCCUGCAGGGAGCAGCCACUGUUUCCAGGGACCCUCACAGAAGAGGAGCUAAUUUCACACUUUGGGACUCCAUAGAAGCCAGCUUCCUGGCAGUUUGAAGUGUGCUUCUCACACAUCUUCCACCAGCUUGUUUGUCUGCCUAUAUCUGAGGAUCCUUUAAAGCGAUUGAAACAAAAUUAAGGGCAGAAUGAAUCUUUGGUGAUGAAAGUGAGAAUCUGGGAGAGAUGUGAAAACUGGAAGAGAAACAGGAAGUACCUCCAGGAUUCACCUAAAUAGAUGCUGCGGUUUCUAUCAAACCACAGGCCACCCCAGCAUCUCAGUGGCUUCUAUAGGUUGUCCUGAAAGAGCCAUGAGGCCAGGGCCCUUGAUGGAUUCCCAGAUACCAGCUGCUCCUCCAGACACCAAUUCCACCCUCCACCUUUCUGUGUCCGUCCCAGACCAAGGCAGCCCAGGACUGGUAUCCUUCUAAGAAGAGGAAGGCACAUCAGAGGAGAGGCCAUGUGAGGACACCAUGGGAAGGCGGCCACCUGCAAGCCAAGGAGAGGGGCCUCAGGAGAAACCAGCCCUGCUGACACCCUGAGCUCCUUGCAAUUCCAGCCUCCUAGACUGGCAGCCCUAACCCCUCCCAGUGCGGAGCUGAUUUUUGGAAAUAGCCAGAAGUGGUUUCAAGUCACAUCAGGUGAUUGAGGUGGGUGACCAAACUCAGCACGAUGUUAGAAACAAAUCCAAAUGUGACAAUAAGUGGCACUCCUUGUUUAUUUAUUUUGAGACAGUGGUCUCGCUCUGUCACCCCCCUGGAGUGCAGUGGCAUGAUCAUGGCUCACUGCAGCCUCCACGUCCCAGGCUCAAGCCAUCCUCCCACCUCAGUUUCCCAAGUAACUGGGACUAUAGGCAUGUGCCACCAUGCCCAGCUAAUUUUUUUAUUAUUUAUUUUUUGUAGAGACGAGGUCUCACUAUGCCGCCCAGGCUGGUCUCAAACUCCUAGAUUCAAGUGAUCCUCCCACCUCGGCCUCCCAAAGUGCUGGGAUUACAGGCAUGGGCCACUGCACCGGCCCUGGUUUCUUCAUGUGGGAUGUCACCCGGCUCUAAAAGGCAGUUUCUUAUAAAAGUCCCAGCUGCAGCUUGAGCAGGAAUAGCUGCAUGGACAACAGAGUGGAGCUUCUCAACCUCCUUUGAAGGGCAAAAGUGGGUCUGAUGGGCUGUUCGAAGCGGGUCCCUGAGGGUCGCAUUCCUUGCAUCCAACUCCCACC